rnacentral:snRNA from 1 species
UGCUUUGCGCAGUGGCAGUAUCAUAGCCCAUGAGGUUAAUCUGAGGUGCGAUUAUUGCUAAAAAUUUUUUUUUUGACACCACCUGGAGUUCUGUGUCCAGUUCUGGGCUCCCCAGUUCAAGAAAGAUGAGGAACUCCUAGAAAGAGUCCAGAGGAGGG